rnacentral:rRNA from 1 species
ACCCGUUAUCCUGCGGGAGGUUGCGGCUAUGGGAGUUCGACUUAGCCAUGCAAGUUUUGGGACUUCGCAAGAAGUACCGGCAUAAUGCUCAGUAACACGUCGAUAAUCUGCCCUUAGAUUCGGGAUAACCUUGGGAAACUGAGGCUAAUACCGGAUAUUGAAUGCGCACUGGAAUGUCGCAUUCUACAAAGCUUCGGCGUCUAAGGAUGAGUUGGCGGCUGAUUAGGUUGUUGGGGGGGUAAUGGCCCACCAAGCCUAUGAUCAGUAGGGGCCUUGAGAGAGGGAGCCCCGAGAAGGGCACUGAGACACUGGCCCUAGCCCUACGGGGUGCAGCAGGCGCGAAAACUUUACAAUGCACGAAAGUGUGAUAAGGGAACUCCUAGUGCUCAUGUACUACAUGGGCUUUUGCCAAGAGUAAAUAUCUUGGCGAAUAAGUGGUGGGUAAGACUGGUGCCAGCAGCCGCGGUAACCCCAGCGCCACAAGUCGGAAUCAUAAUUAUUGGGCCUAAAGCGUCCGUAGCCGGUCAAGUGAAUCAUUUGUGAAAUCGUUAGGCUUAACCUAACGGCGUGCAGAAGACACUGCUUGACUAGGGACCGGGAGGAGUCAGAGGUAUUCUUUGGGGAGCGGUAAAAUGCUAUAAUCCUAAGAAGACCACCUGUGGCGAAGGCGUCUGACUAGAACGGAUCCGACGGUGAGGGACGAAAGCUAGGGGAGCGAAACGGAUUAGAUACCCGCGUAGUCCUAGCCGUAAACGCUGUGAGCUAGGUGUUGCACAUUCUACAUGGAUGUGCAGUGUCGAAAUGAAGAUGUUAAGCUCACCGCCUGGGAAGUACGGUCGCAAGACUGAAACUUAAAGGAAUUGGCGGGGGAGCACCACAAGGGGUGCGGCGUGCGGUUUAAUCUAAACGCAGAGAGUCUCACCAUGGGCGACGGCAGGAUGAAGGUCAGGUUAAAGACUUUACCAGACGAGCCGAGAGGUGGUGCAUGGCCGCCGUCAGCUCGUGCCGUAAGGUGUCCUGUUAAGUCAGGUAACGAGCGAGACCCAUAUCCACUAUUGCUAACAGGUCCUUUAGGAUGUCUGAGCACUUUGUGGGGACUGCCUUGGAAACAAGGAGGAAGGCGUGGGCCACGGUAGGUCUGUAUGCCCCGAAUCUCAUGGGCUACACGCGCGCAACAAUGGUAGGGACAAUGGGAUACAACCCCGAAAGGGGAAGUUAAACCUCGAAACCCUAUCUUAGUCUGGAUUGAGGAUUGUAAUUCAUCCUCAUGACAUCGGAAUCCCUAGUAAUCAGAGUUAAUCAUACUCUGGUGAAUAUGUCCCUGCUCCUUGCACACACCGCCCGUCAAACCAACCGAGCAGGGUUUAGGUGAGAACCAGCCUAUUAGCUUGUUCGAAUCUAAGCUCAGUGAGGUGGGUUAAGUCGUCACAAGGUA